CAGAGGUCUCAAGCGUUGUUCGGAUUCAUUGGGCGUAAAGGGUGCGUAGGUGGCGGGGCAAGUCUGGUGUGAAAUCCCGGGGCUCAACCCUGGAACUGCACUGGAUACUGCUUUGCUAGAGUACUGGAGAGGGAACUGGAAUUUACGGUGUAGCAGUGAAAUGCGUAGAUAUCGUAAGGAAGACCAGUGGCGAAGGCGAGUUCCUGGACAGUUACUGACACUGAGGCACGAAGGCCAGGGGAGCAAACGGGAUUAGAUACCCCGGUAGUCCUAGCAGUAAACGGUGCGCGUUUGGUGUAGGAGGAUUCGACCCCUUCUGUGCCGGAGCUAACGCGUUAAACGCGCCGCCUGGGGAGUACGGUCGCAAGAUUA
rnacentral:rRNA from 1 species